rnacentral:rRNA from 1 species
UACGAAGGGGGCUAGCGUUGUUCGGAUUUACUGGGCGUAAAGCGCACGUAGGCGGCUUGCUAAGUCAGGGGUGAAAUCCUGGAGCUCAACUCCAGAACUGCCUUUGAUACUGGUGAUCUUGAGUCCGGGAGAGGUGAGUGGAACUGCGAGUGUAGAGGUGAAAUUCGUAGAUAUUCGCAAGAACACCAGUGGCGAAGGCGGCUCACUGGCCCAUUACUGACGCUGAGGCGCGAAAGCGAGGGGAGCAAACGGG